UUUAAGUGCAAACAUGAGUUUCCGUGCCCAACUUUGAACACCCGUCUUAUUUGAAAUUAUUUUUAUAAUUAUUAUUUUUGUUGUUAUAAGAUGAUAAAACAUGAACAUUACUUUACCUCAUGACUUGUGUUUUUCAAUUUUUCAAAAAAUUUUCAAAUAAGACGGACGAUCAAAGUUGGGUGCGGAAAAUCAUGGCUGCACUUAAA
rfam:Oryza meridionalis cultivar OR44 (W2112) chromosome 1, whole genome shotgun sequence.